CGUGUAACACAAGACGAUCCUUACUAAAUGUAAAGCCACAACAAUCGAACGUGUUUGGCAUGUCGAUUUUGCUACAACCAACAAAGUAAUAUUUAUGUUGAUAUUUACGUUGAAGCUUGACAUUUGAGCGGCGAACUGAGAAGUUAAUUCCAUUUUAUUCGCAGUUUGAGUUCAAAAUAAAACUAAUUUCGACAAUAAAAAUGUUGAUUUCUCCUCGGAAUUCAUUCGCUGAAAAAUAUUGUCCAUUAAUUUUAAGUAGCAAAAUGAUUGUCCUCAGCUGUAGGCCAGGCCAGUGGAAAUCAUUUCUGGCACAGUUUCAACAAAAACCGAGACCAAAACCAUAACAGCUUUAGCUCGCAAAAUAAACUACCAUGAAUUGCCAGCUGUCGAACCCGUGACCCCGGAAAACUCAGCACAGUAAUCACCCGACAGCCA